rnacentral:rRNA from 1 species
CCCUUAGAUGUUCUGGGCCGCACGCGCGCUACACUGGUGCAUUCAACGAGUCUAAAACCUGCUCUGAUAGGGGUGGGUAAUCUUUUGAAUGUGCAUCGUGAUUGGGAUAGAUGAUUGCAAUUUUUCAUCUUCAACGAGGAAUGCCUAGUAAACGCAAGUCAUCAGCUUGCAUUGAUUACGUCCCUGCCCUUUGUACACACCGCCCGUCGCUCCUACCGAUUGAAUGAUCCGAUGAAUAUCAUGGAUUGAGGAUGCAAGUAGGUUCGCCUAUCUUCAUCUUCGAGAAGUGAAGUAAAUCUUAUCAUUUAGAGGAAGGAGAAGUCGUAACA